rnacentral:rRNA from 1 species
CCUACGGGUGACAGCAGUGAGGAAUAUUGGUCAAUGGGCGGAAGCCUGAACCAGCCAAGUAGCGUGCAGGAUGACGGCCCUACGGGUUGUAAACUGCUUUUAUACGGGAAUAACGCGCCUUACGUGUAGGGCUUUGCAUGUACCGUAUGAAUCAGGACCGGCUAAUUCCGUGCCAGCAGCCGCGGUAAUACGGAAGGUCCGGGCGUUAUCCGGAUUUAUUGGGUUUAAGGGGAGCGUAGGCCGCAUGUCAAGCGUGCUGUGAAAUGUCAGGGCUCAACCCGGGCCUUGCAGCGCGAACUGGGGUGCUUGAGUCCGCGGAAGGCAGGAGGAAUUCGUCGUGUAGCGGUGAAAUGCUUAGAUAUGACGAAGAACCCCGAUGGCGAAGGCAGCUUGCUGCAGUGUAACUGACGCUGAUGUUCGAAAGCGUGGGUAUCGAACAGGAUUAGAUACCCCUGUAGUC